GGGAUCCCGGCCCCGCCGAGGGUCGGGCGCACCACCGGCCCGUCUCGCCCGCACCGUCGGGGAGGUGGAGCGUGAGCGCGUGCGAUAGGACCCGAAAGAUGGUGAACUAUGCCUGGGCAGGGC
rnacentral:rRNA from 1 species